CCCUUAGAUGUUCUGGGCCGCACGCGCGCUACACUGAUGCAUUCAACGAGUUUCUUCCUGGUCCGAGAGGAAUGGGUAACCUUUUGAAAGUGCAUCGUGAUAGGGAUAGACUAUUGCAAUUAUUGGUCUUCGACGAGGAAUUCCUAGUAGACGUAGUUCAUCAGACUGCAUCGAUUACGUCCCUGCCCUUUGUACACACCGCCCGUCGCUCCUACCGAUUGAAUGCUCAGGUGAGCCAUUCGGACUUUCAUCAUGCUGGUUUCCAGUUUUGAUGAAGGAAAGUCUUGCGAACCUUAUCAUUUAGAGGAAGGAGAAGUCGUAACA
rnacentral:rRNA from 1 species